GUGCGCGCGAAGACAGAGCAAAAGUACGAAUUUGACGGUUUAGAAAAUAAUUAACGUUAAAUGUUUACGGUAUUUGUUACCCCCCACCCGAAAAGGCACAAGCUUAUAAUAAAUCCUACAAUCAGUCAAGUGAAGAAGCAUCUGUCGGGAGGGAUACGCUUACAGCAUCAAUAAUGUCGUCACAGUUACACGGCCACAGCGUUAUACCUGUGCCACCAGGAUGCCAAGGACUACACCCAGCUGGUGCAGUGUGCCGAAGGCUCCUCGGACAGCAGUGGGAGAGAUCUCGCCCACGUACAUAGGCGUCAGUCCGGUGCACAGACCGCAGAACACUCCGAUGAUCAAGCGGCCGAUGAUGAUCAUCUCAUAAGAUCUACACAGAGCCGACAGUCCCAUGAAGCCCCCGCCAAUCAGAGCCAGAACAUUGGCCAGCAGCAUGGAUUUACGUCUGGGAAAGAGAGACGUGACGUCUAUUCUGAAAGUUCUCACCUGCCAAAUUUGGUGACCAACACUCCGACAGAGAAAGACCCCGCCAUGCCUCCAACGCUGAAGAUGGCAACAGCAAAGCUCCACACCAUGGUGUUGGUCCCUGGGCUGAAAGGCUCCCCUGUGCGCUCCAGCGACACAUUGUGGAAAAACC